GGUGCAUAUCUGUACGAAGUUGCAAUGGCUGAUGUCAAAGAAAACGUAGAAGCUGGAAGCAAACUUGCAGACAAACAUAACACAGGUAUACACAAGUGGCGGUAUAAACAUUGUUUCUGUUGAUUCUUUUUACAUAGGUAUACUUAACCCAUGUUUGGCUCAUUUUAAACGCAAGUAGGUAGAGGUGUUAUGACUUUAUUAUGUUAUUUAUUACUAUAUUAUAAUUAUUCGCCGAGUAAACGAGAAGACACUUCCAAGAAGUAUUGCCUAAAUUAUUUUUUACUCUGUCAUAAAAUUUGUGACGCAAAUAAAAUAUUCAGGGAA